UUGGUACUACCUCCGUCCCAAAAUUCUUGUCUAAGAUUGAUAUGGAUGUAUCUAACACUAAAACGGGACUAGAUACAUCCAUAUUUAGACAAACCUAAGACAAGGAUUUUGGGACGGAGGGAGUAUUUA
rfam:Hordeum vulgare subsp. vulgare, WGS project CAJW01000000 data, contig: morex_contig_41270